GACGUAGGGCGCGAGCGUUGUCCGGAUUUAUUGGGCGUAAAGAGCGUGUAGGCGGCUUCACAGGUCCGCUGUGAAAACUCGAGGCUCAACCUCGAGCUGUCGGUGGAAAUCGUGUGGCUAGAGUCCGGAAGAGGAGAGUGGAAUUCCCGGUGUAGCGGUGAAAUGCGCAGAUAUCGGGAAGAACACCCGUGGCGAAGGCGGCUCUCUGGGACGGUACUGACGCUGAGACGCGAAAGCGUGGGGAGCGAACAGG
rnacentral:rRNA from 1 species